rnacentral:miRNA from 1 species
UCCCGCUGAGUGUCGGCUUGGUUUUUCCCCUUUUAGCCUGCAGGCGCUGAAUUCUGCGGGUUGCCAGAAGGCUGAAAGGGAAAAAACCGAGGUGACACUUGGCAGGA